AUGAGCAGCAGCCUCGCGGGGCUGCGUCCCACCAUGCUCAUGAUCGCCAAGGACCACAAGGUGCCCGAGACGCCGUGCGUGCGCGCUGUGUCCAUGGAGCCAUGCUUCCACAUGACGCCUGAUGUCAAGUGCCAGGGGAAGGCGGUGAACAAGGAGGAGCUAUCUCGGCACGUCAAGGAGUGUGAGGAUGUACCCAAAGGGAUGAAAUGGAUUAAAGGUAUCAAGUUAGUUGAUUAG
rnacentral:rRNA from 1 species